UACAGAGGUCCCAAGCGUUGUUCGGAUUCACUGGGCGUAAAGGGUGCGUAGGUGGUGAGGUAAGUCGGAUGUGAAAUCUCCGAGCUCAACUCGGAAAUGGCAUUGGAAACUACCUUGCUAGAGGAUUGGAGGGGAGACUGGAAUGCUUGGUGUAGCAGUGAAAUGCGUAGAUAUCAGGAGGAACACCGGUGGCGAAGGCGGGUCUCUGGGCCGAUAUUGACGCUGAGGAGCGAAAGCGUGGGGAGCGAACAGG
rnacentral:rRNA from 1 species